CCUACGGGAGGCAGCAGUGGGGAAUAUUGCACAAUGGGGGAAACCCUGAUGCAGCGACGCCGCGUGGGUGAAGAAGUAUCUCGGUACGUAAAGCUCUAUCAGCAGGGAAGAAAAUGACGGUACCUGACCAAGAAGCCCCGGCUAACUACGUGCCAGCAGCCGCGGUAAU
rnacentral:rRNA from 1 species